GAUGAACGCUGGCGGCGUGCCUAAUACAUGCAAGUCGAACGGACAGACGAGGAGCUUGCUCCUCUGACGUUAGCGGCGGACGGGUGAGUAACACGGGUAUAACCUACCUAUAAGAGUGGGAUAACUUCGGGAAACGGGAGCUAAUACCGGAGAAUAUAUUGAACCGCAGGGUGCAAUAGUGAAAUACGGCUUUGCGGUCAGUUAUAGAUUGAUCGGCGCCGGAUUAGGUAGUUGGUAAGGUAACGGCUUACCAAGGCGACGAUGCGUAGCCGGCCUGAGAGGGUGAUCGGCCACACUGGAACUGAGACACGGUCCAGACUCCUACGGGAGGCAGCAGUAGGGAAUCUUCCGCAAUGGGCGAAAGCUUGACGGAGCAACGCCGCGUGAGUGAUGAAGGUCUUCGGAUCGUAAAACUCUGUUAUUAGGGAAGAAAAAAUGUGUAAGUAAAUAUGCAGGUCUUGACGGUACCUGAUCAGAAAGCCACGGCUAACUACGUG
rnacentral:rRNA from 1 species